ACAUCGCCUCUUGCCAAAAACACAAGUAUAAGAGGCCCAGCCUGCCCAGUGACACAUGUUCAACGGCCGCGGUAUUCUGACCGUGCAAAGGUAGCGUAAUCACUUGUCUUUUAAAUAAAGACUGGUAUGAAAGGCACCACGAAGGUUCAACUGUCUCCCCCAUCCAGUCAGUGAAACUGAUCUCCCCGUGCAAAAGCGGGGAUGAACACACAAGACGAGAAGACCCUAUGGAGCUUAAAACACCAGGCAACUGCUUUUAAACUACAGCCAUAAAGGCAUAACCAUUAACCAAGCAAACAUGACCAAACGUUUUCGGUUGGGGCGACCACGGAGAAUAAAAAAUCCUCCGAGAAGAAGAGGACCAACGUCCUAAAUCACGAACAACAGUUCCAAAUAUCAGAACCUCUGACCACCUUUGACCCAGUCUAACUGAUCAACGAACC
rnacentral:rRNA from 1 species